AUUGAACGCUAGCGGGAUGCUUUACACAUGCAAGUCGAACGAGUGGCGGACGGGUGAGUAUUAUACGGGAACGUGCCCAGUUGCGGGGGAUAACUACCCGAAAGAGUGGCUAAUACUGCAUACUCUUGAAACGGCCGAUAUCGGAUUAGCUAGUUGGUGGGGUAACGGCGCACAAAGGAAACGAUCCGUAGCUGGUGUGAGAGGACGACCAGGCACCCUACGACGGAGACACGGCCCAGACCACUACGUUAGGCAGCAGUGGAGAAGUUAGGACGAGGGAGUAAACCCUGAUCCAGCCAGCCCGCGUGUAUGAUAAGGCCUUCGGGUUGUAAAGUUCUUUUGGCAGAGAAGCGGUAUUUGCAGAAUAAGCACCGGCUAACUACGUGCCAGCAGCCGCGGUAAUUC
rnacentral:rRNA from 1 species